GACGUAGGGCGCGAGCGUUGUCCGGAUUUAUUGGGCGUAAAGAGCUCGUAGGCGGCUUGUCGCGUCGACUGUGAAAUCCCGAGGCUCAACUUCGGGCUUGCAGUCGAUACGGGCAGGCUAGAGUUCGGUAGGGGAGACUGGAAUUCCUGGUGUAGCGGUGAAAUGCGUAGAGAUCCGGAAGAACACCAAGGCGAAGGCAGUGUCCUGGCUCGUGUCUGACGCUCAGGUGCGAAAGCGAGGGGAGCGAACGGG
rnacentral:rRNA from 1 species